AAUGUCUAAAAUUGAAGACGAGAUCUGCUUCAAAAUAAACGUAUCUCUAGGGCAUAAUUUGGAAACAAUACAGUCUUAUCCACAUUUUGUUGAUCCUACACUACCAACAUCUACGACUUUACAAUGCAUUGUAAAUCAAAAUUGUUACGUUGCUUUAUGGACAAAAAACCAAGUUGGAGUUGAGAAAUGUCCACAAUUGGCCGUCGACAAAACCAUUGAAGACGGAGUUUAUAUUUUUCCGCUGCAUGAUACAACACACCAGCCUUGCGUUUACG